AUGACUCUUUGGCAGCACAUACACUAAAACUGGUAUGAUACAGAGACUAGCAUGGCCCCUUUACAAGGAUGACAUACAAAUUCGUGAAGCAUUCCUCCAUACA